rnacentral:tRNA from 1 species
CGCGGAGUAGAGCAGCUUGGUAGCUCGUCAGGCUCAUAAUCUGAAGGUCGUUGGUUCAAAUCCAUCCUCCGCAACCA